AGUAACACGUGAGCAACCUACCUUCGAGUUCGGGAUAGCCCUGGGAAACCAGGAUUAAUACCGGAUGUGGUCACGACGGGACAUCCCGACGUGAAAAAAGGCGCAAGCCGCUCGAUGACGGGCUCGCGGCCUAUUAGCUUGUUGGUGGGGUAACGGCCUACCAAGGCGAUGAUGGGUAGCUGGUCUGAGAGGACGAUCAGCCACACUGGGACUGAGACACGGCCCAG
rnacentral:rRNA from 1 species